rnacentral:rRNA from 1 species
UACAGAGGUCUCAAGCGUGUUCGGAUUCAUUGGCGUAAAGGGUGCGUAGGCGGCGCGGAAAGUCGGAUGUGAAAACUCGAGGCUCAACCUCGAGCGUGCACCCGAUACUGCCGGGCUUGAGGCAGGUAGGGGAGAUCGGAAUUCCUGGUGUAGCGGUGAAAUGCGCAGAUAUCAGGAGGAACACCGGUGGCGAAGGCGGAUCUCUGGGCCUGUCCUGACGCUGAGGCGCGAAAGCUAGGGGAGCGAACAGG